UAUAUUGCAUCCAAGAUCUUUUGAUGUUCCACACUGAAUAUAUUUGCAGGAUAGAAAAAGUAGUUGGUAAUAACAAUGUUUUCUAAGAUGUUUGCUUUAUUUCAAGAUUCCAAAAGGCAACUUCUUAUGUGAACGUCACACCUUCCAAGGGAGGCGAUGUCUUUACAUGAUUCCUGAAUGCUCAGUUGAAUUGCAGCUUCAAGAAGCUCAUCUUCCUCUUCUAGGUCAUCUGAUAGAUCCAUUUUCCUGGAGACGACAGAGGUGCUUCAGGGAUCGUGGGUUGUCUGGAACAAAUUCAAAAGCUAUUAGUCUGCAUUCCCUGAGAAUAGAGAACCAUCGAUCUGUUGCUAGAAAAGUGAUAUAACAGGAUACAUCUAAGAUGUGAGCAGAGGGGGACGUGGUUGACAUAGUCCAGCAGGAUCAGUACCACUCGUCCAGACAGAUGAACAAGGCAGCACAAACUUAUGAAGUCACAGAACUGUGAUGUAAAGGCAACAUAAAGCACUGUAAAUGUAAUAAUAUUACCAAUUUAGUAAUAUAAAAUAAAUAGUAACACUUUAGUUUACAAUAAGCUUCAGUUAGUUAACGAAUUGGGUAACAAUUUUACAGCAUUUAUUAAUCUAGGUUCAUGUUUAUUUAUAAAAAUACUUUUGUUGAUUUGUUAAUUUAUGUUCAUUCAUAACACAUUAACUACAUUUAAUUAAUACAACUUUAAAUGUAUUUAUAUAUGUAGAAAUUCACAUUAGCAUAGACUAAUAAAUGCUGUAAAAUUAUUUUUACUAAUGUUAACACAUUAAUCCUUUUUGUUAAAUCAAGUUAAAUCAUGUUCUAAAACCAAAUAACAAUUGCAGCCAGCAAUUGUUAUUUUUGUCAGAAAGAGACAGAGAGAGCUACAGCCAGUUGAAGCCUACACAGACGACAUUAUAAGCGCGUUCCCAACAUAAAUACUUUUUCAAAUAGCAGCAUAAAUAUGAUACCUUCUAAGAUUCCUUGUUUUUGGCCAAAUCCGAUAAGAAAGCAUCAGA